ACGACUUAAGAAGGAUCAUUCUCGAAAAAAUAAUAUUCUACAUUCAUUCAAAUGUCAUUCAUACAUGUCUAGUUAGGAGCAUUUGAUUCAUUUUAAUCAUGACAUCCUAAUCACUAGGUAUAAUUAGGUUCAUAAUUUGAAUUAUACAGGUCGUGUUCCCUAGAGAACAAACCGGUAAAACUUCAGCCUUAUCUUCUUGAACAGUAGUGGAGUAGGUUAAAAAUAGCAGAUUUUUUUCCGUAGGCGUUGUAGCGGAGCAGAUUGAAGCCACGACGACGAAUCUUAUCUCCCUAGCGUUAAGGCUUGGAUUAGUUGAAGUGGAGCUGAUUGAAGCUGUGGGUAGCGAAUCCUAUCUCUUUGGCAUUACAAUUAAAAAGAUUGAAGCCACAACAGCGGAUCUUACUUCCCUGGCGGUGCAGUAGAGCAGAUUGAAGUCACAACGGCGGAUCUGGUUUCCUCGACAGCGCAAUUGAAAAGAUUGAAGCCACAACGGCGGAUCUUACUUCCCUGGCGGUGCAGUGGAGCAGAUUGAAGUCAUAAGGAUCUGGUUUCCUCGACAGCGCAAUUUAAAAGUUUGAAGCCACAACAGCAGAUCUUACUUCCCUGGCGGUGCAGUGGAGCAGAUUGAAGUCACAACGGCAGAUCUGGUUUCCCUGACAGCGCAAUUAAAAAUUUUUUAAAGCCACAACAGCAGAUCUUACUUCCCUGGCGGUGUAGUGGAGUAGAUUGAAGUCACAACGGCGAAUCUGGUUUCUUCGACAGCGCAAUUAAAAAGAUUGAAGCCACAACGGUAAAUCUUACUUCCUUGGCGGUGCAGUGUAACAGAUUGAAGUCUCAACGGCGGAUUUGGUUUCUCCGACAGCGCAAUUAAAAAGAUUGAAGCCAAAGCGGCAGAUCUUACUUCCCUGGUGAUGAAGUGGAGUGGACUUGAGAUAGCAACUUUUAUUCUUUCGAGCAGACUGAAGACCCAAAUCCUAUCUCCUUAAUGUUGUAGUGGAGUGGAUCGAAGCACUAGUUCCUAUACUUCUGAGAAUGCAGUAAGAUGGAGUGAGACUACUUGAAGAAAAGAGUCCCAAAAUCCAAUACAACCAGGCAAAAUUGGUCAUUGCUAAAGUCUUUGCUCUGUUCUCAUUACACAAUAACGAGCAAAGAGGGGCAGCUGUAAUAGGCCAAUUUUGACCUGGCUAUAUAUAUAAUAGCCUAUUACUAAACCCAGUUUUAAACCCAAUAACACCCUGACCCAAUAACCAAAUUACAAACCCAAUACCCAAACAACCCAAAUACCUAAACCACUAGCCUAAAACACAAAAAAAUGAACAGCAGAAACCUUUGGCAAUAAGCAGCGGAUUUGUAACAACCCAAUUUUGACCCUAAUCGGACAGAGUGGUUUCGGGACCACAAAUCUGAGUCAAAAAAAAUAUUUUAAUAGUAUUUAGAGAGUUUAUUAUGUGUGAAUUUGAUUGUGUGAAAUUUCCAUGUUUAAAUUUUAUCGUUUGAAUGACCGAUUAAAGAAAAUGACUUAAUCGUGUAAAAUUAAAAAUUUAAGGGGGUCAAUUUUAAAAGCACCUAAUUGUUUUUGUCUUUUAAAAAUGGGGGAUUUAAAUGACAAUUGGGCCAUUUAGAUGAUAGUGGGUGGCAAUGGUCAACAUUGCCCUUGUAUUAUAUGUUUUAUAAUUAAAUUAAAUAAGGUUAAAAUAGUAAACCAAAAAUAUAUGUUAUUAUAUGUUAAAUAAAACAAAAAGAAAAUAAAUUCAUCAUCAUCUUCCUACUGCCGAAUUUGAAACAAGAGAAAAAAAAAUCUAGCUAGGUUCGGCCAUUAAUGAGCUCAAAUUAAGGUUAGUUCUUUGUUCGGUUUUUGAUAAUUUUUACGUUUUUGAGAUCGUUGCUUUGAAUACUACCCGACCCAUGCUUGAAUUUCUGAUUUUGAUGAAUAUUUUAAGUUAUGCCAUUGAUGAAUAUUUGUGUUUUGUAAUGUUUGAUGAUGAAUAUGAAAGAUAUGUGAUAGAUUAUAAUAUGUGUUCUUGAAUUUUUGAUGAAUUUAAUUAUUUUGGAUUAAUUUGUAAAAAAAUAUUUAAUUGAGGGACUAAAAGGUGAAAUAAAUGACAUGCAAGGAUCUAUAUGGGUCUAUGAAAUAUUCGGCCCUAACAUAAUGUGGGCAAAAUUUAUGUAUUUUGUGUUUUGUGCAAAAAUGGACUAAAUUGUAAAAAGUGUAAAAUAUCAGGGGCAAAAUAGUAAUUUGUCCAUUUAUGUAUUUUUGGAGUUAAUUGAAUAUUUUGAUGAAUAAAAAGGUUAAAUUUAAAUGUGUUUAGAUCAAGAAAUGAGGAAAACGGAAUUGGAUCGGGGGAAAACGAAAGUAGUCGAGUAGUCGAUCGUGUCCGCUGAUAUUCGAGGUAAGUCUAUUAGCAAAAAUUCAUGUUAUCAAAUCAAUAUAUAUAAGUAUAUUUAUUUUAUAAUUAAUGAGUUAUAAUUACAAGUAUAAAAUUUAUGUUAGUUGAUGUGUGAAUUUCAUACAUAUACAUGUGAUGUUCGAAUAGGUAUGUAUAUAAAAGUAUAAAUUUUUAGACUCAAUUAAAAGUUCAAAUGUUAUGGUUGUGUUUAUAUUAAUGUGCGAAUAUAUGUAUAUGUGUGUAAUAUAUAUAUAUGUGUGGAUCGAACAAGUUUGCAUAUACAUGCAUGAUACCUUAUAUGGAUUUAGGAAUGAAAUUAUGGAUGUAUAUAUAUUAGAUUCGAAUAUGUAUGAGUAUACAAAUAUAAAUUCAUGCUUUGAUUAUGAGUACAUAAUUAUAUAUGUUUAUGAUAGACUCAAAAAUAUAUAUAAAUGUAUUCGGUUGAAUCAUUGUAUUUUCAAGUUUGGAAUUGGUGAUAUGAAUCAGGUUAUAAACCUAGCAGGCUAAGCGCCGGUGAUCUGAAUCAGGCUAUAAGCCUAGCAGGCUAAGUGCCGGUGAUAUGAAUCAGGUUAUAAACCUAGCAGGCUAAGCGCCGGUGAUCUGAAUCAGGCUAUAAGCCUAGCAGGCUAAGUGCCGGUGAUAUGAAUCAGGUUAUAAACCUAGCAGGCUAAGCGCCGGUGAUCUGAAUCAGGCUAUAAGCCUAGCAGGCUAAGUGCCGGUGAUAUGAAUCAGGUUAUAAACCUAGCAGGCUAAGCGCCGGUGAUCUGAAUCAGGCUAUAAGCCUAGCAGGCUAAGUGCCGGUGAUCCGAAUAUGAUGAAUUAAGUGAUUCUAAGCAUUUGGUAUAAAUAUAGAUAUGAUUUUAUAUGAAAUGGAUGAAUGUAUGAAUAUUGUUUCAAGAUGUUGAUGAGUAUAUAAUUGUUCGAAUCUUUGUGAUUAGUGAGUAUGUAUAUAUAUAUAUCGGAUGUCAUGAAAAUUGUUGGAUAUUUAUGAGUGUAUAUAUGUAUGCAUUCGGCAUAGGUGGGUAUAAGUGAAUAUGUGUAUUCGGCCUUUAUAGUUUAUAAGUAUAAAAAUUAUGCUUUUGGUAUACGUAAUUGAACAAAUAUAUAAAUGGAUCCGAUGAAGUAUGGAUAACAAGUACUCUAAAAAUCUGUAUAUGCAGAUAAUGAUUAUGUUAGUAAUUUGAUUUUAUGCAUAUAAUGUAUAUACCUUAGUCCGUUUAUGUAUAUUAGUUAAAUAUACAUUCUUUUAGAUUUAAACAAAAUGACUUAAUAUAGAAAUGUUUGGUUAGUAAUUAUAUUUGAUAUUUGUGAUUUCGAUAAAUUUACUUAAAUAAUUAUGUGAUUCUUUUAUAUGUAUUUUUAUAUACGCUAUAGACUUACUAAGCUAUAAAAGCUUACUUUGGUUAUCUUUGUCUAUCUAUUCUUAUAGAUUUUGGAGACUCGUUACGAGCUCGGGGAUCAUCAGCAUAAUCUAUCACACUAUCGACCGUCUUUGGUAUUUUAUAUAUUUUGAACUCAAACCUAUGGCAUGUAUAGUCUAGUUAAUAUGUUUAAAUUUUUGGGAUAUGUGAAUAUGAGCCAUGCGAAAAUGACUUAUCUCUUUUUGUUUUGAAUUUGGUAUUAACGAAUAUGUUUUAAUGGUUUAUUUCCUAUGCUUAAAUUCGGUUUAGUUAAACAUGGCUUGAUCAUUAUGUUUAAACUUAGUUUUAUAUAUUCUAGGUUGAAUGUUCAAUGUAAUUGAUUUAAAUGAUUCAAUCAUAGUAUAAGUCUAUUUGUAUAAAUGAUAAUUAGUAUGAUUGAAACUUGAUUAUAUGUCUUGAUUGGUUACAUCAAGAAUAAAUUAUGAAUUAGUUUGUAUUAGUAAGUUUAAAACAUAGGUAAAAAAAAAUAAUAAUGGUUGUAUUUGUUCGGUAAUGCCUCGUAACCCUAAUACGGCGACGUAUACGGGUUAGGGGUGUUACAUUUUAUUGGUAUCAGAGCCACGGUUUAGUCGGUUCUAGGACUAACGUAGUGUGUGUGAGUCUAGCUAUACAUGCCAUAUUUAACCUGCGAUAGUGUGAUAUCUCCCGACUCUGACGAAAAUUGUUUUGAUGAGACAGAUAUGUUUUCCAACCGAGCUAAUUUUGAUAGUACAGAAGUAAAUACUCAAAUGUUUGAGUGAAAAUGUGUUGAUGAUGAGUUGAGACUCAUGAAGGUAUGAAUAAGGAUAUAAGAUAUUUUGUUGUUGAUAAAUGUUGUAAUGAUAUGAGUAUAUGAGUUGUGAUAUGUGGCCUACGAUUGCUAUAUGAAUGCUUUGAUUGUGAAUUUGUGAUUUGAGUUGGCAUAUGGACUAUGUGUUGAGGAAAAAUGUGAUUAUAAGCAAAUGUUUAUUAAAUGUUUCGAGAAUGUGAAAUUAUUAAUAAAUUGGCUAUUUGUAAUAGUAUGUGUUAUGUGCAUUUAUGUCCGAGUUAAAUUUGAGGUUUUACUACCCUCACCCCUUAUCAGUAAAAUGUUACAAUGAAAUCUGUAAGAUUUGGAUCGAAUAAGCUCACAAGUGUGGAGUUACAGAGGUUUGUGUUUGAAAGAUUACUAAUGUGGUCGAAUAAAAGAAUGGGUCAGCAAAUUGAGAUAGUGCUAUAAGAGAUAUUGAAUCGUUUUAAUGGCCAUUCGUAUUAUGCAAAGUCACUGUUAACUAAGAAGUUGAAUUUGAUGAAAUAAAAGUAUUCAGGUAUGAUAUAUAUAGAAAGGUAUUAAUUGAAAGUUCUUUUGAAUUGAUUUUUGUUAUUGAUGGGAUAAUAUGGACUUAAUGAUGAUAGAAUUAAACAGUUGAAUAAUGUUUGAAUUGUAUUGAUGGCUGAGCGCAGUGGUUAUAGUCGGACAGUUACUAUGAUUUCUUCUUAGCAUUCUAUGUGUACAUUUAUCCCCAGAAGUAUAUGUUACUGUUUAAUUUAAGAAGGAAUUCUUAUCGUAUAAGAACAUUAGUUAAACGUACUAAUAGACGAAAGUAUCGUAGGUCUGUUUGGGUUAUGUUCGACAUUGCUCUGUCUUUCUCUGGUAUUUAUUCCAUUGUGUGGAUAUGAAAGUCGACGAUAAAAUCUGUAUGAGGCUAAUAUUCUGUUUCUACUAGAUAAUGUUCUGUUGAAUAUACGUGAAAAUUAUAUUGCUUCUGAUACUGUAGAUCUCAGUACUUAUGAGUGACGUUGUUCUUUCUGGAAAUUUUCUAGGAUAUCAUCGGAAUUGUUAUCAUUUUAUAUUGGUUGUAAUUUUCAGAUAUCAUGUGUAGCUUCAUAUGUUGAAAUUCCACUAUCCCAGUUUUUUUUUAUGAAUCCAUGUGAUUAUCUGUAAGAGAUAUCCAUUUGAUGAAAAUGGUUAUAUCUAUUAUAAUUAUAAUUUCUGUUUUGAAAUAUGGGAGUACUGCAGUACCAUUAUCAGAGUGAUAGAAGUUGGGUUUCUGCAUUGGUUACUGUUUAAACCAUAUUUGAUUUUCUUCUGUAUUCAAAUGCUUUAUUAACAGCCGGGAUAAUAUCUACUUAUAGGGUUGAGACAUCGUUUUCAUUAAGGCCCAAUGAUUUCUAUUUGAUAAAGGUGACUUUUGUAUGAUUCAGAACUUCGAUGAUUAAUAUAUGAGACAGCUUAAACUCUUUUCAAGUUCUCGUGAAAGGUUUGACAUCGGCAAAAGUGAAAAUGAUAGAAGAUCAAGAUCAAAUCUGUAAAAUGAUAUGUUUGGGGCUAUCCUUUUAACGAGAAGAAAAGAUUUCUUUGAAAAAUUUGAUUCAGCGGUUUAGUCUGAUUUGAAUUAUUUGAUUGAAAAGAUAAUUGGGUUAUAUGUGUUUGAAUCUAUCCACCGGACUAGAAAUAAACUUUGAACGUAUAUAUGUGAAUUUAGGGAUAGUCUGGAAGAAGAAUUUGUAUUCUUGAAGAUUUGAUACAAAAUUAUAUCUAUCGGAAUGAUUCUAUCUGGGAAAAUAUUGUGGUAAAUUAAAGUUAGUUCGAUUGUUGAAGUUUUCCUUUUUGCACAAAGAUAUUGUCAACCGAAACAUCAAUAUUGGUUUAGCCUAGGUUGAAUAAAAAGUUUACGAUUCUCAGUCAUAUGUCAAUGAAUGGUUUGAAGUGUGUUCUAAUAAAAGAUUGUACAGAGAUAUCUUAUGAUUCCAUAUAGUUAAAGCUUCAUGAAAAGAGUUAUGUGACAUAUUUGAUGACUUAGAAAGAUCUGAAUUUGAGACAACGUCGAUGGUUAGAGUUGUUAAAAGACUACGACCUUGUAAUUGACUAUUAUCCAGGAAAGGCUAAUGUUGUUGCUGAUGCUUUAAGUCAAAAAUCGUUGUUUGCUUUGCGAGAAAUGAAUGUGCCUAUGACUAUGUCCAAUGAUGGUUUAAUAAUAGCUGAAUUAAAAGCUAGACCGUUAUUUGUUCAACAAAUUUGUGAUGCUCAGAAAGUUGAUAAUGAUUUGUUAGCAAAACGAGCUCAAUAUGAAUUGAAUGGUGUAACAGAGUUUCGAGUUGAUACCAAUGAUUGUUUGAGGUUCAAAAACCGAAUAUGUGUUCCGAGGAAUUCAGAGUUGAUUCAGAUGAUUUUGAACGAAGCUCAUAACAGUCGAUUAUCUGUUCACCCGGGUAGUACAAAAAAAAUGUAUAAUGAUCUGAAACAGCUUUAUUUGUGGCAUGGUAUGAAACAAGACAUUUCUGACUUUGUUUUGAAAUGUUUAGUCUGUCAGCAAGUAAAAGCCGAGCAUCAGGUACCUUCUGGAUUACUUCAGCCGAUCAUGAUACCGGAAUGGAAAUGAGACGGAGUCACGAUGGAUUUUGUAUUAGGCUUACCAUUGACACCGAGCAAGAAAGAUGCAAUCUGGGUUAUUGUGGAUAGAUUGACCAAAUCGGCACACUUUAUUCCAGUCUGUACUGAUUAUUCACUUGAUAAACUUGCUAAAUUGUAUAUUUCUCAGAUUGUGAGAUUACACGGGGUACCUAUUUCUAUUGUUUCUGAUAGAGAUCUGAGGUUUACAUCGCGAUUUUGGAAGAAACUGCAAGAUGCGCUAGGUAUUAAAUUGUAUUUUAGCAUAGCUUUCCAUCCGCAAACAGAUGGUUAAUCUGAACGAAUCAUUCAGAUACUUGAGGACAUGUUGAUAUGUUGCAUUCUCGAGUUUGAAGGUACGUGGGAAUGAUACUUACCUUUGAUUGAAUUUGUAUAUAAUAAUAGCUUCCAAUCUAGUAUCAAAACGGCACCUUACGAGGCUUUGUACGGUCGUAAAUGUUGUACACCAUUUUAUUGGAUUGAACUCAGUAAAAAUAAGAUACACGAGGUCGAUUUGAUUAAAGAAACUGAACAGAAAGUGAAAGUGAUUCGGAAUAGUCUGAAAUCAGCAUCAGACCGUCAAAAAUCUUAUGCGGAUUUGAAAAGAAAGGAUAUAGAAUUUCAGAUCGGGGAUAAAGUGUUUUUUAAAAGUCUCACCGUGGAAGAAAAUACUCAGAUUCGGUCGUAUAGGCAAAUUGAGUCCGAGAUUCAUUGGACCGUAUGAGAUUACAGAGCGAGUUGGAUCGGUUGUUUAUAGAUUAAUGUUACCGCCUGAGUUAGAAAAGAUUCAUAACGUAUUCCAUGUUUCGAUGCUCCGUAGAUACCGAUCUGAUCCUUCACAUGUGAUUAGUUCGACGGAGAUUGAAAUUAACUUUGACAUGACAUAUGAGGAAGAACCGAUUAGCAUUCUGGCUCGUGAGAUCAAAGAAUUACGAAAUAAGAAAAUUCCGUUAGUUAAAGUAUUGUGACAUAAACAUGGGGUUGAAGAAGCAACCUGGGAGCCAUAGGAUACAAUGAAAGAACGUUACCCAUACCUAUUCACCGGUAAGAUUUUCGGGGACGAAAAUCCCUAAAGGGGGGAGAGUUGUAACAACCCAAUUUUGACCCUAAUCGGACAGAGUGGUUUCGGGACCACAAAUCUGAGUCAAAAAAAAUAUUUUAAUAGUAUUUAGAGAGUUUAUUAUGUGUGAAUUUGAUUGUGUGAAAUUUCCAUGUUUAAAUUUUAUCGUUUGAAUGACCGAUUAAAGAAAAUGACUUAAUCGUGUAAAAUUAAAAAUUUAAGGGGGUCAAUUUUAAAAGCACCUAAUUGUUUUUGUCUUUUAAAAAUGGGGGAUUUAAAUGACAAUUGGGCCAUUUAGAUGAUAGUGGGUGGCAAUGGUCAACAUUGCCCUUGUAUUAUAUGUUUUAUAAUUAAAUUAAAUAAGGUUAAAAUAGUAAACCAAAAAUAUAUGUUAUUAUAUGUUAAAUAAAACAAAAAGAAAAUAAAUUCAUCAUCAUCUUCCUACUGCCGAAUUUGAAACAAGAGAAAAAAAAAAUCUAGCUAGGUUCGGCCAUUAAUGAGCUCAAAUUAAGGUUAGUUCUUUGUUCGGUUUUUGAUAAUUUUUACGUUUUUGAGAUCGUUGCUUUGAAUACUACCCGACCCAUGCUUGAAUUUCUGAUUUUGAUGAAUAUUUUAAGUUAUGCCAUUGAUGAAUAUUUGUGUUUUGUGAUGUUUGAUGAUGAAUAUGAAAGAUAUGUGAUAGAUUAUAAUAUGUGUUCUUGAAUUUUUGAUGAAUUUAAUUAUUUUGGAUUAAUUUGUAAAAAAAUAUUUAAUUGAGGGACUAAAAGGUGAAAUAAAUGACAUGCAAGGAUCUAUAUGGGUCUAUGAAAUAUUCGGCCCUAACAUAAUGUGGGCAAAAUUUAUGUAUUUUGUGUUUUGUGCAAAAAUGGACUAAAUUGUAAAAAGUGUAAAAUAUUAGGGGCAAAAUAGUAAUUUGUCCAUUUAUGUAUUUUUGGAGUUAAUUGAAUAUUUUGAUGAAUAAAAAGGUUAAAUUUAAAUGUGUUUAGAUCAAGAAAUGAGGAAAACGGAAUUGGAUCGGGGGAAAACGAAAGUAGUCGAGUAGUCGAUCGUGUCCGCUGAUAUUCGAGGUAAGUCUAUUAGCAAAAAUUCAUGUUAUCAAAUCAAUAUAUAUAAGUAUAUUUAUUUUAUAAUUAAUGAGUUAUAAUUACAAGUAUAAAAUUUAUGUUAGUUGAUGUGUGAAUUUCAUACAUAUACAUGUGAUGUUCGAAUAGGUAUGUAUAUAAAAGUAUAAAUUUUUAGACUCAAUUAAAAGUUCAAAUGUUAUGGUUGUGUUUAUAUUAAUGUGCGAAUAUAUGUAUAUGUGUGUAAUAUAUAUAUAUGUGUGGAUCGAACAAGUUUGCAUAUACAUGCAUGAUACCUUAUAUGGAUUUAGGAAUGAAAUUAUGGAUGUAUAUAUAUUAGAUUCGAAUAUGUAUGAGUAUACAAAUAUAAAUUCAUGCUUUGAUUAUGAGUACAUAAUUAUAUAUGUUUAUGAUAGACUCAAAAAUAUAUAUAAAUGUAUUCGGUUGAAUCAUUGUAUUUUCAAGUUUGGAAUUGGUGAUAUGAAUCAGGUUAUAAACCUAGCAGGCUAAGCGCCGGUGAUCUGAAUCAGGCUAUAAGCCUAGCAGGCUAAGUGCCGGUGAUAUGAAUCAGGUUAUAAACCUAGCAGGCUAAGCGCCGGUGAUCUGAAUCAGGCUAUAAGCCUAGCAGGCUAAGUGCCGGUGAUAUGAAUCAGGUUAUAAACCUAGCAGGCUAAGCGCCGGUGAUCUGAAUCAGGCUAUAAGCCUAGCAGGCUAAGUGCCGGUGAUAUGAAUCAGGUUAUAAACCUAGCAGGCUAAGCGCCGGUGAUCUGAAUCAGGCUAUAAGCCUAGCAGGCUAAGUGCCGGUGAUCCGAAUAUGAUGAAUUAAGUGAUUCUAAGCAUUUGGUAUAAAUAUAGAUAUGAUUUUAUAUGAAAUGGAUGAAUGUAUGAAUAUUGUUUCAAGAUGUUGAUGAGUAUAUAAUUGUUCGAAUCUUUGUGAUUAGUGAGUAUGUAUAUAUAUAUAUCGGAUGUCAUGAAAAUUGUUGGAUAUUUAUGAGUGUAUAUAUGUAUGCAUUCGGCAUAGGUGGGUAUAAGUGAAUAUGUGUAUUCGGCCUUUAUAGUUUAUAAGUAUAAAAAUUAUGCUUUUGGUAUACGUAAUUGAACAAAUAUAUAAAUGGAUCCGAUGAAGUAUGGAUAACAAGUACUCUAAAAAUCUGUAUAUGCAGAUAAUGAUUAUGUUAGUAAUUUGAUUUUAUGCAUAUAAUGUAUAUACCUUAGUCCGUUUAUGUAUAUUAGUUAAAUAUACAUUCUUUUAGAUUUAAACAAAAUGACUUAAUAUAGAAAUGUUUGGUUAGUAAUUAUAUUUGAUAUUUGUGAUUUCGAUAAAUUUACUUAAAUAAUUAUGUGAUUCUUUUAUAUGUAUUUUUAUAUACGCUAUAGACUUACUAAGCUAUAAAAGCUUACUUUGGUUAUCUUUGUCUAUCUAUUCUUAUAGAUUUUGGAGACUCGUUACGAGCUCGGGGAUCAUCAGCAUAAUCUAUCACACUAUCGACCGUCUUUGGUAUUUUAUAUAUUUUGAACUCAAACCUAUGGCAUGUAUAGUCUAGUUAAUAUGUUUAAAUUUUUGGGAUAUGUGAAUAUGAGCCAUGCGAAAAUGACUUAUCUCUUUUUGUUUUGAAUUUGGUAUUAACGAAUAUGUUUUAAUGGUUUAUUUCCUAUGCUUAAAUUCGGUUUAGUUAAACAUGGCUUGAUCAUUAUGUUUAAACUUAGUUUUAUAUAUUCUAGGUUGAAUGUUCAAUGUAAUUGAUUUAAAUGAUUCAAUCAUAGUAUAAGUCUAUUUGUAUAAAUGAUAAUUAGUAUGAUUGAAACUUGAUUAUAUGUCUUGAUUGGUUACAUCAAGAAUAAAUUAUGAAUUAGUUUGUAUUAGUAAGUUUAAAACAUAGGUAAAAAAAAAAAUAAUAAUGGUUGUAUUUGUUCGGUAAUGCCUCGUAACCCUAAUACGGCGACGUAUACGGGUUAGGGGUGUUACAGGAUUGGCGUCACCCUCGCCCCCACGUUGCAGCAAUCGUCUUCACGCACGAACGCAUAGCAACUGCCCACGUCGUCUCACCCACUUAUGGUAGCUUCGCACGAUGCCCGUACCUGCAACAAGCCAUGAACCACGAAUAGAAAUAAUAGCAGAAAUUACGACAAAAGGAGAAGAGUUUUUUCGAUAGUUUCUUUCUCCGUUGUUUCGGCUAUAUAAAGCCAAAUCAAAUCUGUAAAAGGGUUACACAUAUAUUGAAAAAUACUGAAAUACGAAAGAAAAGAAUCAGAAAAAAACAAAUUUUUGAAGGUGAUUUGUUAUUUCCAAGUUUUUUACUGUUUCUAUUUUUUUGUCUCAUAUUUCUUUUGUAUUUUACUUCAUUUUUUUGAAAAAAAACGAAAAGUAAAAGAAAGGGAGGAGAUUCUUAUCAGCAGAGGCGCGCCGUCGGCAUCGUUUGCUUCGUUUUGUCCAAAUCGAAGUUAAAGGGGAUGGGGUUUUGGCGUGAAGAGUUGGGAAGGAGAUGAAAUAGUUUUUGCGGCUAUUGCUGC
rnacentral:lncRNA from 1 species